CAACGAACGUGUUAAUGUGUGUGCAAC
rnacentral:sRNA from 1 species